UGGUGGAGUGAUUUGUCUGGUUAAUUCCGAUAACGAACGAGACUCUGUCCUGCUAACUAGGUUGUGUUUUCUCGGGUUGGUGUUAUGGUGUUCCUUCUCGGGGCGCCGGCCCAAUCCACUUGUGAACACAACACUCUUCUUAGAGGGACUGGCGGCUGUUAGCCGCACGAGAUAGAGCAAUAACA
rnacentral:rRNA from 1 species